rnacentral:rRNA from 1 species
UGGGGAAUUUUGGACAAUGGGGGAAACCCUGAUCCAGCCAUCCCGCGUGUGCGAUGAAGGCCUUCGGGUUGUAAAGCACUUUUGGCAGGAAAGAAACGUCAUGGGUUAAUACCCCGUGAAACUGACGGUACCUGCAGAAUAAGCACCGGCUAACUACGUGCCAGCAGCCGCGGUAAUACGUAGGGUGCAAGCGUUAAUCGGAAUUACUGGGCGUAAAGCGUGCGCAGGCGGUUCGGAAAGAAAGAUGUGAAAUCCCAGAGCUCAACUUUGGAACUGCAUUUUUAACUACCGGGCUAGAGUGUGUCAGAGGGAGGUGGAAUUCCGCGUGUAGCAGUGAAAUGCGUAGAUAUGCGGAGGAACACCGAUGGCGAAGGCAGCCUCCUGGAAUAACACUGACGCUCAUGCACGAAAGCGUGGGGAGCAAACAGGA